rnacentral:lncRNA from 1 species
UCACUUGUUGUGUAGGUGUGAUGUCGGCGACCGGGUAUAAAUACAAGUGGCGCAUGGGCUAUAUACAGUACCCAAGAGUCGAAUGCAGAUGCUCCCGUACCUCCAACCCUUUUGGUCCCAGAUUGUAGACGUGGCGUGCCAGCUGAGGUGAAACAAUCAAGGCACCCAAAAACCGCUGGAAGAGCCUACUAUGUGUGCAAGUGGAAGUUUGAUCCUAUACCUGCAAGUCCUUGUUAUUUUUCCAGUGGAUAGAUGGACUCAAGAAAUAUGAUUCUAGGAUCCGCCUAUUCCCAUACGAUAGGACGAAGCUUGAACAUUACCAGCAGUUCAGAUUUUGGGUUCCUCCUCCACCAAACCCACCUCCAAUGACCGAAGAG